UGAUUGGCUCGUGCUUAAGAUGCAGUCGACGGUGAAGCCCAGCUUGCUGGGUGGAUCAGUGGCGAACGGGUGAGUAACACGUGAGCAAUCUGCCCCUGACUCUGGGAUAAGCGCUGGAAACGGCGUCUAAUACUGGAUACGAACCGUGGAGGCAUCUUCAACGGUUGGAAAGAUUUUUUGGUCAGGGAUGAGCUCGCGGCCUAUCAGCUUGUUGGUGAGGUAAUGGCUCACCAAGGCGUCGACGGGUAGCCGGCCUGAGAGGGUGACCGGCCACACUGGGACUGAGACACGGCCCAGACUCCUACGGGAGGCAGCAGUGGGGAAUAUUGCACAAUGGGCGAAAGCCUGAUGCAGCAACGCCGCGUGAGGGAUGACGGCCUUCGGGUUGUAAACCUCUUUUAGCAGGGAAGAAGCGAAAGUGACGGUACCUGCAGAAAAAGCGCCGGCUAACUACGUGCCAGCAGCCGCGGUAAUACGUAGGGCGCAAGCGUUAUCCGGAAUUAUUGGGCGUAAAGAGCUCGUAGGCGGUUUGUCGCGUCUGCUGUGAAAUCCCGAGGCUCAACUUCGGGUCUGCAGUGGGUACGGGCAGACUAGAGUGCGGUAGGGGAGAUUGGAAUUCCUGGUGUAGCGGUGGAAUGCGCAGAUAUCAGGAGGAACACCGAUGGCGAAGGCAGAUCUCUGGGCCGUAACUGACGCUGAGGAGCGAAAGGGUGGGGAGCAAACAGGCUUAGAUACCCUGGUAGUCCACCCCGUAAACGUUGGGAACUAGUUGUGGGGUCCAUUCCACGGAUUCCGUGACG
rnacentral:rRNA from 1 species